rnacentral:rRNA from 1 species
AUGGAUGCGCCUUGGGAAAGAUGCAAGAGCCGGACUGAAUAUCACUACGCAAACUUGGAUGAUGAGAAGAAAUAUUUCUUGGUGCAUAUGAUGAGUGGUUUUCAACAUGAGAUGAUCAUCCCAGAAGAAUUUGUUCAGCGUUUCAAGGGUGAAUUCCCAAGAGAGAUAAUACUUCAAACACAAAAUUGUCGCAUUUACGUAAUUGGAGUUGCCAAGAACAAUGGAAAUCUUGUACUUACAGUAGGAUGGGAAAAAUUCGUUGAAACCUUUGGUCUAGAGAUGGCUGACAACAUAGUAUUCCGAUACAAUGGGAACUCACAGUUUAAUGUCAUAAUCUUUGAUGAACUUGGUUGUGAGAAGGCAUCAUCAGCCCAUACAAGAAAGGCAGAGUCACCAUCAUUUUCUGCCUCCUGUGCAAGAAAGGCAGACAAGUGCUACUGA